AACGCACCUUGCGCUCCUUGGUAUUCCUUGGAGCAUGCCUGUUUGAGUGUCAUGAAUAUCUCAAUCCACUAAAGGCUUGCCUUUUGGUGGACUUGGACUUGGAGGUUGCCGGUCACUCAGCUCCUCUCAAAUGUAUUAGCUGGAACCUUAUGUGUAUCUCCGGUGUGAUAAUAUCUACUCCGUCUGAUCACAAAGUCGAAGUUGCUUGCGACCGAGGCUAUUAGGAUCUGCUUCUAAUCGUCCUACCCAGGACAAUCAUUGACAUCUGACCUCAAAUCAGGUAGGACUACCCGCUGAACUUAA
rnacentral:rRNA from 1 species